ACGGAGGAUGCGAGCGUUAUCCGGAUUUCUUGGGUUUAAAGGGUGCGUAGGCGGAGCGUUAAGUCAGUGGUCAAAUUGAGGGGCUCAACCCCUUCCCGCCAUUGAAACUGGCGCUCUUGAGUGGAAGAGAAGUAUGCGGAAUGCGUGGUGUAGCGGUGAAAUGCAUAGAUAUCACGCAGAACCCCGAUUGCGAAGGCAGCAUGCCGGCUUCCUACUGACGCUGAAGCACGAAAGCGUGGGGAUCGAA
rnacentral:rRNA from 1 species